rnacentral:rRNA from 1 species
CCAAUAGCGUAUAUUAAAGUUGUUGCAGUUAAAAAGCUCGUAGUUGAAUUUCGGGGUUAAUAAGUUGGUCGUACCUAUGGUAUGUACUGGCUUUAUUGAUUCCUACCUCUUGACGAACUGUGAUGCCAUUAAUUUGGUGUUGCAAGGAAUCAGGACUGUUACCUUGAAAAAAUUAGAGUGUUUAAAGCAGGCUUACGCUUGAAUACAUUAGCAUGGAAUAAUGAAAUAGGACGUUUGAACCUAUUUUGUUGGUUUCUAGGAUCGACGUAAUGAUUAAUA